GUCGUAACAAGGUCUCCGUUGGUGAACCGCGGAGGAUCAUUACCGAGUUUUCAACUCCCCAACCCUUCUGUGAACCUACCUAUCGUUGCUUCGGCGGACUCGCCCCAGCCCGGACGCGGACUGGACCAGCGGCCCGCCGGGGACCUCAAACUCUUGUAUUCCAGCAUCUUCUGAAUACGCCGCAAGGCAAAACAAAUGAAUCAAAACUUUCAACAACGGAUCUCUUGGCUCUGGCAUCGAUGAAGAACGCAGCGAAAUGCGAUAAGUAAUGUGAAUUGCAGAAUCCAGUGAAUCAUCGAAUCUUUGAACGCACAUUGCGCCCGCCAGCAUUCUGGCGGGCAUGCCUGUUCGAGCGUCAUUUCAACCCUCGACCUCCCCUUGGGGAGGUCGGCGUUGGGGACCGGCAGCACACCGCCGGCCCUGAAAUGGAGUGGCGGCCCGUCCGCGGCGACCUCUGCGUAGUAAUACAGCUCGCACCGGAACCCCGACGCGGCCACGCCGUAAAACACCCAACUUCUGAACGUUGACCUCGAAUCAGGUAGGACUACCCGCUGAACUUAAGCAUAUCA
rnacentral:rRNA from 1 species